UGGGGAAUAUUGCACAAUGGGGGAAACCCUGAUGCAGCAACGCCGCGUGAGUGAUGAAGGUUUUCGGAUCGUAAAGCUCUGUCUUUGGGGAAGAUAAUGACGGUACCAAAGGAGGAAGCCACGGCUAACUACGUGCCAGCAGCCGCGGUAAUACGUAGGUGGCGAGCGUUAUCCGGAUUUACUGGGCGUAAAGGGAGCGUAGGCGGAUGAUUAAGUGGGAUGUGAAAUACCCGGGCUCAACUUGGGUGCUGCAUUCCAAACUGGUUAUCUAGAGUGCAGGAGAGGGGAGUGGAAGUCCUAGUUUAUCGGUGAAAUGCGUAGAGAUUAGGAAGAACACCAGUGGCGAAGGCGACUCUCUGGACUGUAACUGACGCUGAGGCUCGAAAGCGUGGGGAGCAAACA
rnacentral:rRNA from 1 species